rnacentral:lncRNA from 1 species
GAAUUAACAACCCAAAUUAAUUUAACCCGGCCCCCGACCCAUUUUUCUAAUCCCGUCCAUUUUACCAUUUAAUCCUGGCCGUUGAUCAUUUUUGAUCAACGACCCACAGCUGCCCUUUCCUUUUUAAUUUGCCAAACCCCCAACCCUAUUUCAUUUUUUUUCAACAUCCUCCUUUGAACCCUCUGCUUCUCUCAAACUCUCUCUAAUACUCAUACCCUAG